rnacentral:rRNA from 1 species
CAAUAGCGUAUAUUAAAGUUGUUGCAGUUAAAAAGCUCGUAGUUGGAUUUCGGGGCAGCCUGGCUGGUCCGCCGCAAGGCGAGUACUGGUCAGCCGCCCUUCCUCUCGAAAGCCCCGACUGCUCUUCGUUGCAGUGGUCGGGUAGUUCGGGACGUUUACUUUGAAAAAAUUAGAGUGUUCAAGGCAGGCCUACGCCUGAAUACAUUAGCAUGGAAUAAUGGAAGAGGACCUCGGUCCUAUUUUGUUGGUUUCCAGGGCCGAAGUAAUGAUUAAGAGGGACAGUUGGGGGCAUUCGUAUUUAGUUGUCAGAGGUGAAAUUCUCGGAUUUAUGAAAGACGAACAACUGCGAAAGCAUUUGCCAAGGAUGUUUUCAUUAA